AUGCUGUGGACCUUCUGCACUCUCAUUACUGCUCUAACGUAUGUUGAUGCAGUGAUCAUGUUGACCCAAACACCUGCUGUCCACACAGUUUCUCCAGAUCAAGAAGUUGUUCUCAACUGCAACAUAGAGAGAUAUGAUGGGAAUUAUGUUAACUGGUAUAAACAAGUUCCUGGAAUGGUUCCUCAGUAUGUUCUAAGUUUUCAUUAUUUUGGCAGCUCACCCAGCUUUGGAACAGGAUUCUCCUCAGACAGAUUCAACUCUAAAUCCUCAUCAAACAUUGAUUACCAGUUCAUUAUCAAGCGAGCAGAGACAGGAGACUCUGCAGUGUAUUACUGUCAGACAUGGGAUGACUCUGCCAGUGCAGCUGUACCACAGUGAC